UACGGAGGAUCCAAGCGUUAUCCGGAUUUACUGGGCGUAAAGAGCGCGCAGGCGGUCGAUCAAGUCGAGUGUGAAAGCCCCCGGCUCAACUGGGGAGGGUCAUUCGAUACUGAUCGACUCGAAGGCAGGAGAGGGUAGUGGAAUUCCCGGUGUAGUGGUGAAAUGCGUAGAUAUCGGGAGGAACACCAGUGGCGAAGGCGACUACCUGGCCUGUUCUUGACGCUGAGGCGCGAAAGCUAGGGGAGCAAACGGG
rnacentral:rRNA from 1 species